UACCUCAGGAAAUUACGUCAGUGCAGAGAAUAAUAUGGCGUCUGCAAUGGCUAUGGACUUCAUGGACAAACAGUAUUUUGAUAUCCAGUUAAAAGAACGAAAAAUUGAAGCCGCAGGGGGAUUCUAAAUGGACGAUAAGGAAUCUUCGGCGAUGGUUUUUUAUUGUCCUUUUUCUUGAUCUCGGCUAUAAACCCGCAGCCCAUGUCAGAAGGAGCCAGUCUGUCUGGUCGAAGAGGGGUUGUGGGGACUCGCAGCGCCGAGGUGAGAGACAUUUUAGUCUGCUAAACGAGCUGCUAGGUAAUUCACGGGAUGUCGUGAGCUACCAGUCACUGUUAUUCGUGACCGUUAUAUUUUGAAGAGUUUAGAUUGCAAUUCAGUGUGUAUUGCCGUUAGCAAGUUGGAUAGCUACAUUGACUAUCAAUUUGACACUCCUGUCAUGGCCUUGCGUGGAAAAUAAUCAAGCUGUGAUUCCCUCGACUGCGCGAGCUCACUGGUUAAACUCAAGAGUUGACAAAAUAAAUGACUGGUUUAGCUAACGUUAGUUUGCUAGCCGACACGAUUAGAUCAAAGAUUACAUGAUCAGGGCAAACAUAAACAAAGGAAAUGUGAGCGUCCCCUCAGCAUGCUGUCAGCUAAACUCGAGACUGGCCUCGAGGCCCCCAAAAGGUGUGUGAUGUCGGGGGGGGAGGUGGAGGUGUACCUGUCCCAGGUUCAUGAUGGAAGCGUGUCCUCAGGGUUCCGGGCGCUGUACGAGGAGAGGCUCCUAUUGGACGUCACGCUGCUGAUAGAGGAACACCACUUCCAUGCACACAAGGCCCUGCUGGCGACCCAGAGUGACUACUUCCGUGUCAUGUUCACAGCAGACAUGAGAGAGAGAGAUCAGGACAAGAUCCACAUGAAGGGGUUAACGGCUGCCGGCUUCGGCCACGUCCUGAGGUUCAUGUACUACGGUUCACUGGAGCUCAGCAUGGUCACUGUGCAGGAGAUACUACAGGCUGCCAUGUAUGUCCAGCUGACGGAGGUGGUAGAGUUCUGCUGUUCCUUCCUGCUGUCUAAGAUCUGUCUGGAGAACUGUGCCGAGGUGAUGAGACUUCUGGAGGACUUCAGCGUGGGGGUGGAGGGCGUGCAGGAGCAGCUUGACAACUUCCUGCUGGAGAACUUUGUUCCUCUGAUGAGCAAACCUGACUUCCUGCUCUACCUCAGCCUGGAGAGACUGCAGGCGUACCUGGACAGUGAUGCCCUGAGUCGGUUCCCAGAGAUAGAGCUGUAUGAGUCUGUCCAGGCCUGGCUCCGACACGACCGCCGCCGCUGGAGGCACACAGACACUGUCGUCCAGUCUCUACGCUUCUGCCUCAUGACCGCCGCUAACGUCUUCGAGAAGGUGAAGACGUCAGAGUUCUAUCGUUACUCUCGACAGCUGCGUCAGGAGGUGGACCAGGCUCUCAGCUACUUCCACGACGUCAACGAGCAGCCACUGGUCGAGACGCGGUCCAACCGCAUCCGCUCGGUCCGCCCGCAGACUGCCGUGUUCAGGGGCAUGAUCGGACACAGCAUGGUCAACAGCAAGAUCCUACUGCUGCACAAACCCAAGGUGUGGUGGGAGUUGGAAGGUCCCCAGGUUCCUCUCCGACCAGACUGCUUGGCCAUCGUCAACAACUUUGCCUUCCUGCUGGGGGGGGAGGAGCUAGGGCCUGAUGGGGAGUUCCACGCCUCCUCUAAAGUCUACCGCUACGACCCCCGCCAGAACUCCUGGCUACGCAUGGCCGACAUGUCUGUGCCCAGGUCAGAGUUUGCAGUGGGGGUCAUCGGUAAGUUCAUCUACGCGGUGGCUGGGCGGACGCGGGAUGAGACAUUUUACUCCACGGAACGCUAUGACAUCACGGCGGACCGCUGGGAGUUUGUGGACCCGUACCCGGUCAACAAGUACGGUCACGAGGGCACGGUCCUAAACGGUAAACUCUACAUCACCGGAGGAAUCACCUCCUCAUCCACCUCCAAACAGGUGUGUGUGUUCGACCCGGGGGCGGGAUGAGGGGGGGGGGGCUCUGUGGAAACAACGGACACACACAGGACGCGUUCAGCCCGCACCCCCCUCCUCCCCAACACACACACCAGCUGCUGGGAGAACAAGUCGAAGAUGAAUUACGCUCGCUGCUUCCACAAGAUGAUCUCCCAUAACGGGAAGCUGUACGUGUUCGGGGGGGGGUCUGUGUGAUCCUCCGGGCGUCAUUCGAGUCGCAGGGCUGCCCAUCCACGGAGGUUUACGACCCUGAGACAGACGAGUGGACCAUCCUGGCGUCGAUGCCCAUCGGGCGCAGUGGGCAUGGCGUCGCGGUGCUGGACAGACAGAUCAUGGUACUGGGGGGCCUCUGCUAUAACGGACAUUACUCUGACUCCAUCCUGACCUUUGACCCCGAUGACAACAAGUGGAAGGAGGACGAGUAUCCCAGGAUGCCUUGCAAACUGGAUGGGCUGCAGGUCUGCACUCUGCACUUCCCCGAGUACGUCCUGGAGCACGUCCGGCGCUGCAGCUGAGGUCUGGUUCAGUUCAGACACACCCCUUUAAGGUUUGGGAAUGCCCCCCUUUUAAGACCAACUCCUCCUACAGGCCCCAGGUGUGGAGGUGGAGGAUUGGUGUUUACAGGUGUGACACUAACACUCUCUAACACAGAAGCUUUUCAACUAGACACAGACAUGCCAUAGUAAUCUGUCCACACGGGCAGAAAAUUGAGCUUUGCUAGUGAUCAGUGGUGGUGGGCAACUCAAGCUGAUCUGUUUCAAAAUAAGCUUUUCAGAAAAAGGGAAAAAUUGAGAAGAUUUUUCAUGAUUCAGCUGGUUUAUUUUGGACUGAGGUCAGUUUCAUAUUGUUAUUAUGAUUCCGUUUCAGCCUACAGUCCCUGUCUGACUGAACUAAUAAUGUAUAAACCCUGGAUGACUGACAGUGGGGCGCUGUAUUGAAGCCAUUUUGGGUGGGAAGCUAUAGAAAUAAAUGUUUCAAUGUCUACAUGUUUUUUACUGGUAUAUUAUAAUAUAUGUUAAUUAUGUGAACUAAAAAUACAAAAAAAAGUUUGAUAACAUAUUCCUUACAGUAAGUACUUUAUAGAGUACUAAUGUUACUGUCCCCACUACUACAAGGAAAUACUUAAAUACAUGUGAUUUUGUCAAUUUUAUUGGCUAAUUGAUAGCAUCAGCAAUCCAGGGUUUAUUCACGUCAUUGGUCUGAACUAUGUCUGUCUGUAUGUCUCAACCAUGCUGUGUCAUAUUCAUGUGAUGUCAUGUAGUCUCUCUGUAACCCUUUCUCUGAUGCUGCUUUCAAGACAACUGGGAACUCGGAAAUCUCCUACCUCUGACUUAAUAAUAAAUAUAAUAAUAUAUGCCAUUUAGCAGACGCUUUUAUCCAAAGCGACUUACAGUCAUGUGUGCAUACAUUCUACGUAUGGGUGGUCCCGGGGAUCGAUCCCACUACCCUGGCGUUACAAGCGCCAUGCUCUACCAACUGAGCUACACAGGACUUCAAGACGUGCGUUCAAGACAACUGGGAAAUCAGGGGGGAGCGACCUCCGACUGGGGAAAAAUAGUUUUGAACGGUCCUCUAACUCGGAAUUCGAAAGUCGGAAACUCUGGGAUAAUCUUAAAGGUCUUAUUUUCCGAUCUGAAGGUCACUGACGUCAUGAUUUGACCUUCCCAGUUCUCUUGAAAGCACCAUUAGUCUGUGGAGCGUGUGUGCGUGUGUGUGUGUGUGUGUGUGUGUGUGUGUGUGUGUGUGUGUGUGUGAGAUACAUGAAUGAGCAAAAUAUUUAAAAAAUAUGCACUCAUACUAUUGGGAUUGUGAGAAAGAUGAUCAUGGUGAUGAUUUAGCAUUGUCAUGACUGCACUGCAAUAACACUGUCCUGCUGACAGAGAGCCAUGUAACAGUUCAGAGGUCAGGGAUGACUGCAGUGUGAAGGUCCCCGUCUCUCUGGCAGUACUGUAUGUAAGAUUUCACUUUAUUUAUUGACGUUAACCAUCUGCUCUGAGUGUUGCUGUGGCAGACGACUGGAGGGUGUGUUAGAUGGUCGGAGUUGGCCACAAAUGAACCAGAAACAACUUUUGAUUCAAAAAAACAAAAUAAGUUGAUACAGAAAAGGAGUUAAUAUUAAAGAUCAAUUUGAAAUAGGCUCAAAACUCCCAGUAACACAUUAACUAUUUUUGCUUGAUCAUAUUUUGAGUGUCAAAGGUGAUCUGGCUAACUUAUGGAUCCUACUUUGUAAAGCCCUACCCUGGCUUAGUCCUGUCUGUCUGUCUGUCUUUCUGACGGAGCCAGCUGCAGCAUAUGAACCUGCUCAUCUCUCUCGUUCUUCUUUUAAUGAACAACAAUGAAAAGGGCUAAAGCACGUUCUUCUGCAGUUCUGUCUGUCAGACAUUUUUUGUAUGUGUGUUUAUGGAGAUCCAUCCACCACCAGCUAACUCUGUGUGAUUGUGGUCGGGAUGUUGGGUUGAUGUGAUUUGCCUUUCAAUAGAGCAUAGUCUUUAUGAUACUUUGAGAGAUUGUGUCACUCUUUCUGAUCCCACAUCUCCCUCUUCUUUCCCUCCCUCCUUUCCUCUACCCAGCGUCCUCUUGUCUGCACUCACGACUCUAUUCAAUCAAACCUGCAGUGCAGUAUUUAUGCAGUAGCAUACAAACAUGCCUUUUCCCCCAGUCAAGUCACAGAGCGGUUUGUGGUACUGUAUAAAUACCAGGCAGACCCCCCUCACAGGCAGUGGCUCCAUUUGACAGAAUAAGAUGUGUGCAGUAGAGUAUAAACAGGGACUGUUAACAUCACUAAGGCAGCUUAGAUGUAAUAAGGUAUUCUGUCAUCUCCCAUCUGUGUCUUUUGUCUAUUUUUUACAUGUAAAAAUUACUAUCGAUAUCAUGAACACUUAGGCCCAGUUGGUUUUCCAGACGGUAAAUCUACUUCUGGACUAAAAAGCAAUAGAGAAUCUCCACAAAGUGGUUUUUUUUUUAGUCCAGGAAUAGUAUGCGUCUGGCAAACGGGCCAAUAUUAUGCCAAACUUCAGUCUUUAAACAGCGGUUUCCCUCUGCUGGUCAACAUGUAUUAGUCCUGCUGUUUUUAUUUGGGACAGGGCUUGUCUGUCAUAGCUCAGCAUUUAUAAUCAGCCCUCAGUCUCAGUAGGAUGAAAUUAUAGAAUAUUGUGGAUUAAAAACACCCUGUACGAUGACUAUUUCUAAAAUAUAAAAUCAGAUAAACAAUGUAUUUACUAUAAUCUGAGUAGACACUGCUAUUUCAAACACUUUGUAAUUUAUAUCCAGAAAUAAAUGUUCAUACUGUUAAGCUUU